UGAAUCUGAAAUUUCUACAUGUUUGAGAAGGGAGGCAGAGCAAGAUGGCCAAUAGAAGCCUCCACAAAUCGUCCUCCCUGCAGGAACACCAAAUUUAACAACUAUCUACACAAAAAAGCAACUUCAUAAGAACCAAAAAUCAGGUGAAUGACCACAGUACCCAGUUUUAACUUUAAUCACUGAAAGAGGCACUGAAGAGGGCAGGAAAGACAGUCUUGAAUUGCUGAUGCCAACCCUCCUCCAUCACCCGGCAGUGGCAGUGUGGCACUGAGAAUCUGUCGCUUGUAGGAGGGAGAGCACAAUGAUUGAGACUGUACUGGAACUCAGUGCUUUCCUGUCACAGAAGACAGCAACACCAGGAAGAGCUCAGCUGAUGCCUGUGAAAGAAGCAUUUAGACCAACCCUAACUACAGGGGAAGCACACAUCCCAGCAGUUGGAACAGGAGUUUCAGCAAGCCUUGCCACCACCAGCUAAAGUGCUCUGGGGUUCUAAAUAAAUUUGAAAGGCAGUCUAGGCCACAGGAACGACAAUUCCUAGGCAAGGCCUAGUCCUGUGCUAGACUUGGAGCUAGUGGCUUGCGGGGGGCAUGCCAUCUAGUGAGACACCUGCCAGGGUGGUUAAUAGAGUGCUUGCACCACCCCUCCCCCAAUCCCAGGCAGCAUAGCUUGCAGCUCCAGGAGAGACUACUUCCUUACUGCUUGAGGAGAGGAGAGGGAAGAGUAAAGAGGACUUUGUCUUGCAACUUGGGGGCCAGUUCAGCCACAGUAGGAUGGGGCACCGGGAACAGUCCUGGGGUCCACAUUCUAAGCCCUGGCUCCUGGACAAUAUUUCUAGACACAUAUUUGGUCAUAAAGGAACCUGCACUCUUGAAGGGAAGUGCCCACUCCUGGUGGGAUUCAUCACCUGCUGACUAAGGAGCUCUUGGCCCUGAAUAAUAAGCAGCAGUAGCCAGGUAGUACACACCAUGGGCCUUGAGUGAGACUCAGUGCCAUGCAGGCUUCAGGUGUGACCCUGCACGUUUCCACCUUGGUGGCUACCAGGAGAGAUUCCUUUUUGAGGA
rnacentral:lncRNA from 10 species